AUCUGAAUUGGGAAAUUCAAUAUUAUUUUAGUUGUCCAUUUAAUCAAUGGAUAAUCGAUGAUAUGCACUUUUCCCAUAGUAGGACAUUGCGAUCCAUUAGUAGUCUCUUUGAGACGGUUUAUCAAACGGCCCGUGUAGUCAGUUUAGCCUAUCUGCAAUAUUUACUAUUGUAUGGUUAAUGCUAUUGCGGUGACCUGGUAAACAGCUGAUGGAGCUUAUAAAAUCAUGCAACCAUGCAUAUGUAUCACGGUUUCGAUGUUGUAAAACAUUGGAAUGCAGUGAUCGCAUGUAUUUGAUUAGCAAUGCGAUAGAUUUGGGAUACCUUCGGGACCCGUCUUGAAACACGGACCAAGAAGUCUAACAUGUGUGCAAGUCAUUGGGUAUUUUUUGUGAAACCUAAAGGCGAAAUUAAAAUAACUAUUUUAUGGGAUUACAAGCGAUC
rnacentral:rRNA from 1 species